UACGGAGGGUGCGAACGUUAAUCGGAAUCACUGGGCGUAAAGCGCGCGUAGGCGGUUCGUUAAGUGGGAUGUGAAAUCCCCGGGCUUAACCUGGGAAUUGCAUUUCAAACUGGCCGACUAGAGUACGGUAGAGAGAGGUAGAAUUUCCUGUGUAGCGGUGAAAUGCGUAGAUAUAGGAAGGAAUACCAGUGGCGAAGGCGGCCUCCUGGAUCGAUACUGACGCUGAGGCGCGAAAGCGUGGGGAGCAAACAGG
rnacentral:rRNA from 1 species